AGCAGCCGCGGUAAUUCCAGCUCCAAUAGCGUAUAUUAAAGUUGCUGCAGUUAAAAAGCUCGUAGUUGAAUUUCGGGACCAUCAUGUCGGUCGUGCCUCGGUACGUACUGGCAUUGUUGGUUUCUACCUUCUGACGAACCACGAUGUCAUUAAUUUGGUGUCUUGGGGAAUCAGGACUGUUACUUUGAAAAAAUUAGAGUGUUUAAAGCAGGCUCGCGCUUGAAUACAUUAGCAUGGAAUAAUGAAAUAGGACGUUUGAUUCUAUUUUGUUGGUUUCUAGGAUCGACGUAAUGAUUAAUAGGGAUAGUUGGGGGCAUCAGUAUUCAAUUGUCAGAGGUGAAAUUCUUGGAUUUAUUGAAGACUAACUACUGCGAAAGCAUUUGCCAAGGAUGUUUUCAUUAAUCAGGAACGAAAGUUAGGGGAUCGAAGACGAUCAGAUACCGUCGUAGUCUUAACCAUAAACUAUGCCGACUAGGGAUCGGAUGAUGUUAAUUUUUAAUGACUCAUUC
rnacentral:rRNA from 1 species